UUGUGGGGUGACGGCGUGCCUAUCGAAAAAUGAGUCUGCGAGUCAGUGGCAUGUGGCGAGCAUAACCCGUGUGGGGUAUGCGUAGCGAAGGCGAGUCUUAAAAGGCGUUUGAGUCGCGUGUCCUGGACCCGAAGCGGGAUGAUCUAGCCCUGAGCAGGUUGAAGCGCGGGUAAGACCGCGUGGAGGACCGAACCCACCUGGGUUGAAAACCGGGGGGAUGACCUGGGGCUAGGGGUGAAAGGCCAAUCAAAUUCCGUGAUAGCUGGUUCUCUCCGAAAUGCAUUUAGGUGCAGCGUCGGUUGAUUGCAUCGCGGGGGUAGAGCUACUGGAUGCUUGCGGGCCCGUGUCGGGUACCAAUAGCAGCCAAACUCCGAAUACCGUGGAUGUGUAUUCCGGCAGUGAGUCGGCGGGGGAUAAGCUUCGUCGUCGAAAGGGAAACAGCCCAGACCGUCGUCUAAGGUCCCGAAGCGUGUGCUAAGUGGGAAAGGAUGUGGAGUCGCAUAGACAGCCAGGAGGUUGGCUCAGAAGCAGCCAUCCUUGAAAGAGUGCGUAACAGCUCACUGGUCUAGUGGUUCCGCGCCGACAAUGUAGCGGGGCUCAAGCACACCACCGAAGACGCGGCAGUAUUUUGUACUGGGUAGGAGAGCGUCCCAUGAGGGGCGAAGCGGCCGUGUGAACGCGCCGUGGACUUCAUGGGAGUGAGAAUGCAGACAUGAGUAGCGAGAGACGGGUGAGGAUCCCGUCCGCUGGAUGACCAAGGGUUCCGGGGCCACGUUCGUCGUCCCCGGGUGAGUCGGGUCCUAAGGCGAGGCCGACAGGCGUAGUCGAAUGGAUGAACGGGUCGAUAUUCCCGUACCGGCUUUCAGCCGCCAAAACCGAGGCUUGGAGUACUAACCUCCGGGUCCGGGCUUACUGCUCCUUCGGGGGCGGGAUGCCCUGGCCUGUUGGGACCGAUCCUUGUAGUAGGUCAGCGCAGGAGUGACGCAGAAGGGUAGCCGGCCGCGGAGGUGGUCUUCCGUGGUCAAGCACGCAGGGCGUGGGACAGGCAAAUCCGUCCCGCAUGGGUCCGAGGUGCGAUGAUGGGGGCCUUAUGGCCCGAUAUCCGGUGAUCCCGGCUGCCGAGAAAAGCUUCGGCGUCAGGCUCAAAGCCGCCCGUACCCCAAACCGACACUGGUGGUCAGGUAGAGAAUACCAAAGCGAUCGAGCGAAUCCUGGUCAAGGAACUCGGCAAAUCACUCCCGUGCCUUCGGUAUAAGGGAGACCCCCGGGCGUGAAGAGGCUUGCCCUCGGAGCGUUGGGGGGUGGCACAGACCAGGGGGUAGCGACUGUUUACCAAAAACACAGGUGCAUGCGAAGGCGCAAGCCGCUGUAUAUGCACUGACGCCUGCCCGGUGCCGGAAGGUUAAGAGGAUCCGUCAGCCCCUUUUGGGGUGAAGCGGUGAAUUCAAGCCCCGGUAAACGGCGGUGGUAACUAUAACCAUCCUAAGGUAGCGAAAUUCCUUGUCGGGUAAGUUCCGACCUGCACGAAUGGCGUAACGA
rnacentral:rRNA from 1 species